UACGGAGGAUCCAAGCGUUAUCCGGAUUUAUUGGGUUUAAAGGGUGCGUAGGUGGCUUAUUAAGUCAGGGGUGAAAGACGGUAGCUUAACUAUCGCAGUGCCUUUGAUACUGAUGAGCUUGAAUGAACUAGAGGUAGGCGGAAUGUGACAAGUAGCGGUGAAAUGCAUAGAUAUGUCACAGAACACCAAUUGCGAAGGCAGCUUACUAUGGUUAAAUUGACACUGAGGCACGAAAGCGUGGGGAUCAAACAGG
rnacentral:rRNA from 1 species